rnacentral:tRNA from 1 species
GGGGUAGUCGUCUAGCUUGGACUAGGAUACCAGCCUGGGGCGCUGGCGAUCCUGGGUUCAAAUCCCAGCUACCCCACCA